UAGGGAAUCUUCGGCAAUGGACGAAAGUCUGACCGAGCAACGCCGCGUGAGUGAAGAAGGUUUUCGGAUCGUAAAACUCUGUUGUUAGAGAAGAACAAGGACGUUAGUAACUGAACGUCCCCUGACGGUAUCUAACCAGAAAGCCACGGCUAACUACGUGCCAGCAGCCGCGGUAAUACGUAGGUGGCAAGCGUUGUCCGGAUUUAUUGGGCGUAAAGCGAGCGCAGGCGGUUUCUUAAGUCUGAUGUGAAAGCCCCCGGCUCAACCGGGGAGGGUCAUUGGAAACUGGGAGACUUGAGUGCAGAGGAGGAGAGUGGAAUUCCAUGUGUAGCGGUGAAAUGCGUAGAUAUAUGGAGGAACACCAGGGGCGAAGGCGGCUCUCUGGACUGUAACUGACGCUGAGGCUCGAAAGCGUGGGGAGCAAACAGG
rnacentral:rRNA from 1 species